rnacentral:misc_RNA from 1 species
CUGAGCUCCGUGUCCUCUCGCGUCGAGCUCUGCAUCAACGAAUCCUGCUCGCCUCGUUUACGACGCUCGAACCUCCUGCCUCAUCGGGAUAAGAAGGGUCAUGCUCCGCCUGUUUCUGUGGCUCCACGACUCCAUGCAAAGGUGAUUCUUCCACUGGUGGCCCAUCACGGGAAUCGCAGGGUUGUUCGUGCGUCCUCCUCAUUCGUGUCGCUCGCCCAUUCGGCCAUUCCGUCCCCAAUCUGCUUUACGCACCCGUCGUCGUCCUUCAGCCUCGUCCUCUGUGUGCUCGCCACACUCGCCCCAUUCCACGACCUUGCUCCGCUGCCAUGGGCCGUCUUCUCUCAUUUUCCGAUUCCCAUCUCACCCAUCUCUCUCCAUGAGAGCACGAGCGAGCGGGUUCGAUCAGCAGGUGAAAGAGCAGACCCAAGGAGCUUAGGCACCUCAAGACCGCAGCGUUGA